ensembl:lncRNA probable isoprenylcysteine alpha-carbonyl methylesterase ICMEL2
AGCCAAUAAGAAACGCCGUUAGGCUGACGUCUGCGCUGGCUAGAAGAAGUAGCCAGGAAGUUCAUCAUGCAGCGAAUGCAUCCAUCUGGGCUCACGGGACACUGGUAUGUCAUCUGCACAAUGCACUCUUUGCACCACUGAUGUUCUGUUUUCAGUACAAAGCAUCAGUUCUGUUGGUCUUUUUUUUCUGUUUCAGGAUUGCGUUGAAGUGCUAUCUCUCUCUUCCAGUGGUGGCAGGGGCAUUAUUAGUGGGCCUCCCUUACAGUGUCUCUCUUGUUGCCCAAUGGCUCUAUGGCUGGCCCAAUAAACCAGGGUACCAAAAAUAUAUAGAGGCUCUCAAACCAAGGCGCAUAUACUGCCUUACAAGAGCCGUGCUAGAGAUGCUGAAGUAUCUGCAGUAUGGCAAACUGUACUUUCAAUGGAAACUGUGGUACAGUAAUGACAAAAAUAACAAGCACUAUGUGAAAGGCAUAACCUUUGGUCGGCGAGGGAACAAACUAGAUUUAUACUAUUCACCAAACAUGGGCCAUUCUGAUGCUGCUCCUGUACCAGUGGUUGUAUUUGUGUACGGAGGUGCCUGGGGAUCAGGAGACCGCUCCAUUUACUGUCUGUUAGCCUUACAAAUGGCAAAAGAGCUUAAUGCCUCUGUAAUUUGUCCAGAUUAUUCCAUAUAUCCAAAGGGAAAUGUUUUAAAUAUGGUUCAAGACAUAACUGACAGCUUGCUGUGGGUGAGAGAAAAGGGACAAACAUUCAAUCUUGAUCAAGACAACGUAAUAUUAAUAGGUCAUUCAGCAGGGGCUCAUCUGUGUGCUCUUACCACACUGUUUCUGGUGAACAAUGCAGAUGAACUGUUCCUUGAGGCCAACAAACAGAGAGAUCUUGUAUCUGCCAUUAAAGGAAUCAUAGGUUUGAGUGGCGUUUACAGUAUAAUGGAUCAUUAUAAGCAUGAGAAAGUGAGGGCGGUUGAAUAUGUGUCAACUAUGCACAAAGCCAUGGAUGGUGUGGAGAACUUUGAUUAUUAUUCGCCGACAUCAUUACUCAAGAAAUUGAAUGAGGAUCAGUUGAAAAGAGUUCCUCCAGUGGUUUUGCUCCAUGGAACCAAUGACAUCAUAGUUCCCGUGGAAUCAUCGGUGAAGUUCUCGGAGCUCCUCAGUUCCCUUUCCGUCAGGAUGUCUCUCUAUCUAAUACCUAAAAUGAACCACACUGAGAUGGUCACGGACCUUAUGGCUCCAGACAGGCACUUUUACCACACUGUUUAUGGCUGUAUUAAACAGGAGUACAGUAAAUUUCAAGGUUAUGUUGAGUAAUAUUUUUCAUUCAAUUCAGUACUAAUUUCAUUUUCCAGUAUGCCAGACAGUCAUUAUUUGUUCUUUAUGAUUUUACUGAAAGUUUACAUCCAAGUUCUAAUGAUUUGUUUUCUUCUGAAAUGUUUCAUUUUCGAUCAAAACUGUGUUCAAUAACCCAUUAUACAAGAUAGCAAGGUGAAAGAAAACAUAAUAUUAU